UAUUGCACAAUGGGGGGAACCCUGAUGCAGCGACGCCGCGUGGGUGAAGGAGCGUUUCGGCGCGUAAAGCCCUAUCGGCAGGGAAGAAGAUGACGGUACCUGACCAAGAAGCCCCGGCUAACUACGUGCCAGCAGCCGCGGUAAUACGUAGGGGGCAAGCGUUAUCCGGAUUUACUGGGUGUAAAGGGGGCGCAGACGGCAAUGCAAGCCAGGAGUGAAAGCCCGGGGCCCAACCCCGGGACUGCUCUUGGAACUGCAUGGCUGGAGUACAGGAGGGGCAGGCGGAAUUCCUAGUGUAGCGGUGAAAUGCGUAGAUAUUAGGAGGAACACCGGUGGCGAAGGCGGCCUGCUGGACUGUGACUGACGUUGAGGCCCGAAGGCGUGGGGAGCAAACAGG
rnacentral:rRNA from 1 species